CCUACGGGGGGCAGCAGUGGGGGAUAUUGCACAAUGGGGGAAACCCUGAUGCAGCGACGCCGCGUGUGGGAAGACGGUCCUCUGGAUUGUAAACCACUGUCCCCAGGGACGAAGAUGACGGUACCUGGGGAGGAAGCUCCGGCUAACUACGUGCCAGCAGCCGCGGUAAUACGUAGGGAGCGAGCGUUGUCCGGAAUUACGGGGUGAAAAGGGAGCGUAGGCGGGACUGCAAGUUGGGUGGCAAAUCUACCGGCUCAACCGGUAGCCGCACUCAAAACUGCAGUUCUUGAGUGAAGUAGAGGCAGGCGGAAUUCCUAGUGUAGCGGUGAAAUGCGUAGAUAUUAGGAGGAACACCAGUGGCGAAGGCGGCCUGCUGGGCUUUUACUGACGCUGAGGCUCGAAAGUGUGGGGAGCAAACAGGAUUAGAUACCCGUGUAGUC
rnacentral:rRNA from 1 species